GUUGGCGGCGUGGAUUAGGCAUGCAAGUCGAGCGAAUCUCGACUCUGUAGUAAUACAGAGUUGGGGGAAGCGGCGUAAGGGGCAGUAAUGCAUGGAUAACCUACCCUGGGGACGGGGAUAGCCUUCCUAACGGAAGGGUAAUACCCGAUGACGUGGCCGGUAGACAUCUCUGGUCACCAAAUGAAUUUCGCCCUGGGAGGGGUUCAUGUGGUAUUAGCUUGUUGGUGAGGUAACGGCUCACCAAGGCAAAGAUGCCUAGCUGGUGUGAGAGCAUGACCAGCGCCACUGGGACUGAGACACUGCCCAGACUCCUACGGGAGGCUGCAGUCGAGGAUCUUCCACAAUGGGCGAAAGCCUGAUGGAGCGACGCCGCGUGUGCGAUGAAGGCCUUCGGGUUGUAAAGCACUGUCGAGGGGGAGAAAGGGAAACUUGAUCUACCCCUGGAGGAAGGACGGGCUAAGUUCGUGCCAGCAGCCGCGGUAAGACGAACCGUCCUAACGUUGUUCGGAAUCACUGAGCUUAAAGGGCGCGUAGGCGGUCGGCAAAGUCAGGGGUGAAAUCUUUCGGCUUAACCGGAAAAGUGCCUUUGAAACUAGUCGGCUCGAGUGAGAUAGGGGCAUGUGGAACUUCCGGUGGAGCGGUGAAAUGCGUUGAUAUCGGAAGGAACGCCGGUGGCGAAAGCGACAUGCUGGAUCUCUUCUGACGCUGAGG
rnacentral:rRNA from 1 species